GCCCAGACUCCUACGGGAGGCAGCAGUGAGGAAUAUUGGUCAAUGGGCGCGAGCCUGAACCAGCCAAGUAGCGUGAAGGAUGACUGCCCUACGGGUUGUAAACUUCUUUUAUAAAGGAAUAAAGUGAGGCACGUGUGCCUUUUUGUAUGUACUUUAUGAAUAAGGAUCGGCUAACUCCGUGCCAGCAGCCGCGGUAAUACGGAGGAUGCGAGCGUUAUCCGGAUUUAUUGGGUUUAAAGGGUGCGCAGGCGGCACGGCAAGCCGGCGGUCAAAUCGCGGGGCUCAACCCCGCCCAGCCGUCGGAACUGCCGGGCUAGAGUGGGCGAGAAGUGCGCGGAAUGCGUGGUGUAGCGGUGAAAUGCAUAGAUAUCACGCAGAACUCCGAUUGCGAAGGCAGCUUACUAAGCCAUAACUGACACUGAAGCACGAAAGCGUGGGGAUCAAACAGGAUUAGAUACCCCAGUACG
rnacentral:rRNA from 1 species